AUACGUAGGGUGCGAGCGUUGAUCGGAAUUACUGGGCGUAAAGAGCUCGUAGGCGGUUUGUCGCGUCGUCUGUGAAAUUCCGGGGCUUAACUCCGGGCGGGCAGGCGAUACGGGCAUAACUUGAGUACUGUAGGGGAGACUGGAAUUCCUGGUGUAGAGGUGAAAUGCGCAGAUAUCAGGAGGAACACCGGUGGCGAAGGCGGGUCUCUGGGCAGUAACUGACUGUGAGGAGCGAAAGCAUGGGUAGCGAACAGGAUGAGAUACCCUGGUAGUCCAUGCCUAAAACGUGGGGCGCUAGGUGUAGGGGUCUUCCACGAUUCCUGUGCCGUAGCUAACGCAUUAAGCGCCCCGCCUGGGGAGUACGGCCGCAAGGCUAAAACUCAAAUGAAUUGGCGGGG
rnacentral:rRNA from 1 species